UUCCACAGCUUUCUUGAAC
rnacentral:ncRNA from 2 species